GAUGUAGAGGAAUGGGUCGAGGUUGAUGAGGCAGAUGCGUAUGACAUGGAUGAUGAUAUGUUAGAUCCUUCUCUAGGAUUGGGUGGCAAAGAAAAUGAAGUAGAAGGUGAGGUCAAUGACACUGAGAAAACAAAGAGAGGGAAAGGGAAAAUGCAACAAUUGAAGUUGGUAAUAAGGUUAAGGUGAGGAAAACUAGAGUUAAGCGUGCACCAUGUUGGCAGCAUUUCAAGGAGGUCAAAGCUAUAUGCAAGAAGAAACCAGGGGCAGUUUUCACGAAGGAAAAAUGCUUGCAUUGUUGUAACUUGUUUGCUUAUACUCCAGGGGGCCAACUACUAGUCUAAAUCGGCAUACAGAUGUUUGUGCGGUCUAUCUGAACAAGAAGGGAAGACAACAACGACAAGGAAGAUGACAUUGAUGAUGAUGUUGAGUUCAUUCCAUUUCCUGAAUCUAUGGUGGAAAGCAACUAACAGGAAAAGGAAUACUCUACAACUUCAUGAAGGCCCAGGCAGCAAGGUGGAAGGGCUCCUGGACCGUUCUUUUACUAGUGGAUGUAGCGUUUUGCUACUCCUGGACCGUUCUUUUACUGCUGGCUAUAGCAUGUUGCUACUAUCUUAAAAGUUUAAAUUAUGCAAGGUGAUAGGUGCACCAGACUUGUUGGUGUUUGUCGCUCGUAUUAGUGUUGCUACUUUGUGCUAUUAGUGCUGCUACGUACUAGUCUUGCUCCCAUUUUGACUUUAACGCCCUUCUUUUAAUUCAUGCUAUUGUGAAAUUGUGAUGGAAACCUUCUGUGUGGGGUUUGGCACUUUGGCUGUAGCUUGCUAUUAUUUUUAAAAUUCAAAUGAUACC